rnacentral:rRNA from 1 species
AUACGUAGGUGGCAAGCGUUGUCCGGAUUUAUUGGGUUUAAAGGGCGCGUAGGCGGGAGCUUAAGUCAGCGGCUAAAUGGUGCGGCUCAACCGUGCCCUGCCGUUGAAACUGGGUUUCUUGAGAGUGCAAGAGGCGGAUGGAAUUCAUGGUGGAGCGGUGACAUGCUUAGAUAUCAUGAAGAAAUCCGAUUGCAAGGGCACGCCGCUAUGGCACGUAUGUCGCUGAUGCUCGCAGAUGCUAGGAUCACACAGGUUUAGAUACCCCGUUAGUCUGGAGCGUAAACGAUGAUUACCCGAUGUCAGCGGUAGGCAGUCGACGGCCAAGCGACAGCAAUAAGGAAUCCACCUGGGGAGUACGCCAUCAACGGUGAAACUUAAAGGAAUUGACGGGU